UGAGUACGAGACACUACGGUGUCGAAGCAGUCUAUGUCAUACUUCCAAGAAAAGCUUGCACUGUCAUAAACAAAUAAUGCCUGUACCAUAACCGACACAGGUGGGUAGGUAGAGUAUACUAAGGGGCGCGAGAUAACUCUCUCUAAGGAACUCGGCAAAAUGACUCCGUAACUUCGGGAGAAGGAGUGCCUUAUAUUUUAUAAGGUUGCAAUAACAAGAUCCAAGCAACUGUUUACCAAAAACACAGGUCUCCGCUAAGUCGUAAGACGAUGUAUGGGGGCUGACGCCUGCCCAGUGCCAGAAGGUUAAAGAAGUUGGUUAGUAUUUGCGAAGCUGAUAACUGAAGCCCUGGUGAACGGCGGCCGUAACCAUAACGGUCCUAAGGUAGCGAAAUUCCUUGUCGGGUAAGUUCCGACCCGCACGAAAGGCGUAAUGAUUUGGAUACUGUCUCGGAGAGGGACUCGGUGAAAUAGACUUGUCUGUGAAGAUGCGGACUACUUGCACCAGGACAGAAAGACCCUAUGAAGCUUUACUGUAACUUGAAAUUGAAAUUGGACUUUACUUGCGCAGUAUAGGUGGGAGGCUUUGAGAAUAUUCUUGCGGGAAUAUUGGAGCCAUUAGUGAGAUACCACUCUGGUAAUGUUAGAUUUCUAACUUUGUAUCAUUAUCUGGUCAAAGAACAGUUUCAGGCGGGCAGUUUGACUGGGGCGGUCGCCUCCUAAACGGUAACGGAGGCGCACAAAGGUUUCCUCUGAACGGGUAGAAAUCGUAUCUAGAGUGUAAAGGCAUAAGGAAGCUUGACUGUGAGACCUACAAGUCGAGCAGGGACGAAAGUCGGUCUUAGUGAUCUGACGGUGCUGAGUGGAAAGGCCGUCACUCAACGGAUAAAAGUUACUCUAGGAUAACAGGCUGAUCUCCCCCAAGAGUUCACAUCGACGGGGAGGUUUGGCACCUCGAUGUCGGCUCAUCGCAUCCUGGGGCGGUAGUACGUCCCAAGGGUUGGGCUGUUCGCCCAUGAAAGCGGUACGCGAGCUGGGUUCAGAACGUCGUGAGACAGUUCGGUCCAUAUCCGGUGUAAGCGUUAGAAUAUUGAGAGGAGCCUUCUUUAGUACGAGAGGACCGAGAAGGAUGCACCGCUGGUGUACCAGUUAUUGUGCCAACAGUAAACGCUGGGUAGCUAUGUGUGGAGUGGAUAACCGCUGAAAGCAUCUAAGUGGGAAGCCCACCUCAAGAUAAGUAUUCUUAUCACGUAAGUGAAUAAGGUCACGGUAAGACUAACCGUUUGAUAGGCAUUAAGUGUAAAUCUAGUAAUAGACGAGCUGAGAU
rnacentral:rRNA from 1 species